GGAACCCAAGGCCAAGGUGAAUGUUUUUAUCAUUAAGCUACAUCUUCUCUCUGGACAGACUUUUAAAAUCUAUAUACAGGCUGUUGAGAAAGCCUGUAGAAUCUAGACAAGUCACCACAUUGUCCUGAUGGUGAUGAUACCUGAACAGUGGCUGUUUUGAUUGGCUAGGAAUUUUCAUAGGUCUCAGAUAGGAUUGUUUUUUCAUUAAAAUUGUAAAGCCUCUGUAUACUUCAAAUUUUAUUAUUACAACUUAUUUCUUCCCAUAAAAUAGAGUUAUAAGCAGACAUAUUAGCUUUUAUGCUAAAGUAGAUAUUGUGCCUAGUGACAGUGAAGCAGAGAGUGAGUGCUUCUUGGAUGCCACACAGACACCCUAGAAGGUGGAAAGUAUCUCCCUGUUGUGAGGGCUUGAGAACUGUUAACAUGUUUUUCAAGUAGUGUUCAUGGCUAACGGUAUAAAGCAGCUAGAGCCAGUAGGUCUAAUCCCCAGGAAACAGGAAAAAAAAAAAAAAUAAUAAGAGCUGUCUUAGGAAAAACCAGAGAUUACACAUGGUAGUUCUAGCCCAGUAUGGUGCUGCAUGCAUUUAAUCCCAGCACUCAGGAGUUAGGGACAAGAGGAUCGGUGUAAAUCUGAGGCCAGCCUGGUUGGUCUACAUAGUAAGUUCCAGUCCCACCAGGGUUAUAUAUUGAGACUCUGUCUCAAAAUAACAACAAACCCAAACCAACAAAAAAAAGUUCUAGAAACAUAUACACCAUACUUUCUAGGAGUUACUUCUGG
rnacentral:lncRNA from 1 species